GAAGCCUGACGGAGCGACGCCGCGUGAGUGAAGAAGGCCUUCGGGUUGUAAAACUCUGUCUUCGGGGAAGAAAAAAAUGACGGUACCCGAGGAGGAAGCCCCGGCUAACUACGUGCCAGCAGCCGCGGUAAUA
rnacentral:rRNA from 1 species